UGUUGCCUCGGCGCAUGCCGGCCUCACUGAGGCCCCUCGGAAACGAGGAGCAGCCCGCCGGCGGCCAACCAAACUCUUGUUUCUUAGUGGAUCUCUGAGUAGAAAAACAUAAAUGAAUCAAAACUUUCAACAACGGAUCUCUUGGUUCUGGCAUCGAUGAAGAACGCAGCGAAAUGCGAUAAGUAAUGUGAAUUGCAGAAUUCAGUGAAUCAUCGAAUCUUUGAACGCACAUUGCGCCCUCUGGUAUUCCGGAGGGCAUGCCUGUUCGAGCGUCAUUUCAACCCUCAAGCACUGCUUGGUGUUGGGGCACCGCCUGUAAAAGGGCGGGCCCUGAAAUCUAGUGGCGAGCUCGCCAGGACCCCGAGCGUAGUAAUUAUAUUUCGUUCUGGAAGGCCCUGGCGGUGCCCUGCCGUUAAACCCCCAACUUCUGAAAAUUUGACCUCGGAUCAGGUAGGAAUACCCGCUGAACUUAAGCAUAUCAAUAAGGC
rnacentral:rRNA from 1 species